GAUGAACGCUGGCGGCGUGCCUAAUACAUGCAAGUCGAGCGAACGGACGAGAAUCUUGCUUCUCUGAUGUUUGCGGCGGACGGGUGAGUCACACGUGGAUAACCUACCUAUCAGACUGGUAUAACUUCGGGAAACCGGAGCUUAUACCGGAUAAUAUUUUGCACCGCGUGGGUCGAAGGUAAAAGACGGUCUUUCUGUCACGUCUAGAUGGAUCCGCGCUGCAUUGGCUAGUUGGUAAGGUAACGGCUUACCACGGCAACGAUGCAUAGCCGGACUGAGAGGGUGGUCGGCCACACGAGAACUGAAACAGCGACCAGACUCCUAAGGGAGGCAGCAGUAGGGAAUGUUACGCAAUGGUCGAAAGCAUGACGGAGCAACGCCGCGCGAGUGAUGAAGGUCUUCGGAUCGUAAAACUCUGUUAUUAGGGAAGAACAUAUGUGUAAGUAAAUGUGCACAUAUUGACGGUAACUAAUAAGAAAGCAACGGCUAACUACGUG
rnacentral:rRNA from 1 species